rnacentral:rRNA from 1 species
ACUCCUACGGAAGGCAGCAGUGGGGAAUUUUGGACAAUGGGGGCAACCCUGAUCCAGCCAUUCCGCGUGAGUGAAGAAGGCCUUCGGGUUGUAAAGCUCUUUCGGCAGGAACGAAAAGGCUCUCUCUAACAUAGGGGGGUCAAUGACGGUACCUGAAGAAGAAGCACCGGCUAACUACGUGCCAGCAGCCGCGGUAAU